rnacentral:rRNA from 1 species
CUACGGGGGGCUGUAGUGAGGAAUAUUGCACAAUGGGGGGAACCCUGAUGCAGCAACGCCGCGUGGAGGAUGACGCAUUUCGGUGUGUAAACUCCUUUUAUAUGUCAAGAAAAUGACGGUAGCAUAUGAAUAAGCACCGGCUAACUCCGUGCCAGCAGCCGCGGUAAUAGGAGGGUGCAAGCGUUACUCGGAAUCACUGGGCGUAAAGGACGCGUAGGCGGGUUGGAAAGUCAGGUGUGAAAUCCUACAGCUUAACUGUAGAACUGCACUUGAAACUUCUAAUCUAGAGUAUGGGAGGGGGAGAUGGAAUUAGCGGUGUAGGGGUAAAAUCCGUAGAUAUCACUAGGAAUACCUAAAGCGAAGGCGAUCUCCUGGAACAUUACUGACGCUAAGGCGUGAAAGCGUGGGGAGCAAACAGGAUUAGAUACCCCCGUAGUC